rnacentral:rRNA from 1 species
UACGUAGGGUGCGAGCGUUAAUCGGAAUACUGGGCGUAAAGCGUGCGCAGGCGGUUCUAUAAGACAGAUGUGAAAUCCCCGGGCUCAACCUGGGAACCUGCAUUUGUGACUGUAGAGCUGGAGUGCGGCAGAGGGGGAUGGGAAUUCCGCGUGUAGCAGUGAAAUGCGUAGAGAUGCGGAGGAACACCGAUGGCGAAGGCAGCCCCCCUGGGCUAGCACUGACGCUCAGGCACGAAAGCGUGGGGAGCAAACAGG